rnacentral:lncRNA from 1 species
UUUUUUUUUUUUUUUUUGAAGUACAAGUGUAGUUUUGUUCUCAAAAAGGGCAUACAAUAUUACAAUAGUCGAUGAAUGGUUGGUUUGCUGGUUAGGGUUAAGAUUCUAAAAUUAAAAGUUCUAAAUUCAAAUUUUUUUCCCCUCUCCAUUUCUUAAAUCUCACGCCUCUUUGUGAACAAAAAUAUUUUGCAGUAGACUUGCUUUUGGUGUAUAAAGUCCUGUGCCCUAAUAGAAAUUUUAAAAAAAAAACAACAUAUUAUUUGUCUAUUCAUUGAUUAAAUUUCAAUUUGUAGGGAGAUACUGUCUAAGGAUUCUGAUCAAGCACACAUAUACGAAAAGGAAUGCGUGUAUCCAGACUGAGGUGGACAUUGAAGUAAAAAACCAGUGGUGCAAAGCAGUCCUUGGAGGCAAACAGCCUUCACAGCCGCACAAUCUAUGUACAUACUAAUAUUCUAAUGCUGGAGAUGGCAACCCUCCAUCUGCCCUUGGAAUAAAAUUUGGAAUAAUGAAUAUAUCUGCGUCAAGCAAUGACGCAAUCUGCUUCAACCGUUGCUUAAAUUAAAUGUCUACACACAAUCAAUAAUUAUAAGUAAUUAAUUAAGACGCUAUGAUAUGGGUUUUUUUGUGGUCAAUACUUAAAGAAGCGGACAUACUCUGAAUUCAUGUUCUUAAUGGAAAGCUCAAAUUCAAAUUCUUUGACUUGUCAUGUUCUUAUGUGUGUUUUUUUCCCUUUUUGUUUUGUGCCAAUGGGUGAUUCCUUGCCAUUAUUUUAACUUUUGUCUGCACCAACCUAAUUAACGUCUUUGAUGUAUGGUUUAGUGUAUUAAUCUUGAAUUGUAGUUAUCAUAGUUUGGAAAAAAGGACUCCCUAUUUAAGUGGAUUGGCUUAAGAGAUAUUGCUAGAAGAUCCCACAAAAGGGAAAAAAAAUGUAUAUUUAAAUCAAAGUUUGGCAAUUAGAAAUCAUUUUUUGCAUUCUCAAAGUCAAAUGUUGGUGAUUAACUGGUAGGAUUUUCCUUUAAAUUCAAAAGAUGCUGGAAUGAACACGUCAUAUUAUCCAUUUACAUCAAUCCUAAACUAAUGUCUAGGGAAUCAAAUUUCUUUCAUUCUUUCUUCGAGUCAUUGCUUCCACCAGAUGGAGAAGUUGGCAGAACAGAGCUUUGUCCACCAACACCAGGAGCUCCAUGUACUCCAUUGCUGGAUUGGACCAGCGUUGGCUGUAUGUGAACAACAAUUUGAACAAGUGAUGACACAACCUGGGAUGCAGAUAUGGGAAGAGAUAAUAUUUCUAUCACUGCUGUUUCAAGUAUCAGCUGCGUAUAUGUCCCAGGAUCUUGGAUUUGAUAGAAUGCUUUCUGGCCUUCAGAUGCAUUUGUUUGCCCAGGCUGUGCAGCUGCUUGAGUUUUAUUAUGUUGCAUCCUGGCAGAACUAAUGGAGACAUCUCCAGCAGGUCCAAGCUUUGAAGAGUUACUCAGAGGAGGAAUUACAUGAUUCGCCAGACCCAAUAACAGAGUGGCAAAGUAAUCCAGUGGUGGACAAAUAGAAGCAUUUGCUGAAUUAAUAUGCUGGGGAAAGGAUUCAGAAAAUGGAAUCUGAAAGUAUUACCGUUGCAGAGUUAGAGGAAGACUAAAGGAAGAAAUCAAAGAAAAAAUGAAAUAUCAUUACCUUCUUGACAUCUAACACACUCAAUAUCCGCAGGAUAAGCUUCCCAGGAAGAUGACCAUAGAAAUAUGCAAGUAUAUCACGAACAAAUGUGAAAUUUAAAGGAUAAUAAUGCAAGAAUAGAUUAUACAGCUGCAGAACUCUGUCAGCUGCAUCUAUAGCAUCGUUUUCAAUCAGUCUAUAUAUGAUUAGCGGAAUCACUGGUAGCAAACGUGCAGCAAUAUCAUCAAAAAAUGUGGGAAAUCUGCAAAGAAGAGUAGAGCCAUUACAAACCUUAGUCUACAAAUCCACUUGAAAUUACUAGCAUAAAGAAAUAGGAAGAAAUUGAAAUGCAAUACUGAAAAAAUAGUUAAGUGGGUUCGAAAUGACAUGAUAUCACUAAUCUGAUCAGCAGAUUCUGGUUGAAGCUGAUGGUAAAAAGACUAGGUUCACCAUAGUCAAUCCUUUACAACAUUCCCCAAAUGGGUGAAUAUCUAGGUUGGCUAGCUUAAAUUUGCGUAAUGCAAAUGCAUCAUGAAACUUGUGAUUGUACAAUCUAGAGUAACUUUUCCAGUUGACAUGAAGUUCAUCAUUAAUGUUGAUGAAUCCGCUGAGGUUUUACUUUAAUCAUUAGCUAUAAGUCUCACACUCUUACUUGAUUCACUUCCAACCCAGUCACAGAAUCUAGAGCUUAGCACCUUCAGCAACUAACAAUAAUGUCUCUCAGAGUAAAAGCUUCACCUUUCCUUCCAAGAGAGAUGAUUCCCUAGAGCUUUUUGCAAUUCAACACGCUUGAAAGUCCCGCUAAGAAGCCAAUGCUCAGGCUGGCCACGAUUCAUACUGUACAAUUUUACCCUCUGCUGGAGCUCUUUACUUUCCAGUAGACUCAUCUGAUUGCAUUAACACAAACAAUCGAAAAAGGGAAAAAAUUAAGUGAGGUUGUAAAUGGUUUUUCAUCCAGCAUUCUAUGAGUAAUCUGACAUAUAGAACCCAUUUAAAAUAAUUAACUUCCUUUGAGACAAAAUCAGAUUUGUUUAUGAAGAUUUCCAACAGCUUUUGAUGGAGAGGACCUGAUUCUCACAUUUAAGAGUAUAGUUUCUUCCUUUUCCUUUGACUAGAAAUUUACUUUGACAUACCAUCACAAGCAACAUCAUGACUAGUACAACUAGAAUACAAGUCAAGAUGAGUUCUGAACCAACAUCCCAAGAGCCACAGGAAAGUUGCCAUUGGCAGAAUUCAGGCAUUCUUGCACAGGCAAGAACAGAUUCUUCGGAAAACAGAGCCAGCAGGAGGAAAAAAAAUUAACAAUCUUGUCCCAGACCUUUCACUAACACCAACACGUUAAACUUUUAGUGGUCCCUCUUACAAUUAUGACUACUGCAGUGAAAUUUAAACGGAACAGGAAACUCAGCACACAAAUGCCAAUUUCAUUACAAGUGUUAGUGGCUGAUCUCCAUCAUCAUUUUUUAUUCAAACAGCAAAAAAAGGCAUAUAAGACAAACUAGAAUGGUGGGAGAUGAGUAAGAGCAACUUGAGACAGUCCAAGUUCUUGAACGAAACCAUUUGGUGAAGAGGUGCAGUUCAAACCAUGAAAGUAGCAGUGUAUGAAAAAGUUGGACCUAGAGGAAAGUGACUAAAAAAAUCCAAGGACUCAGACAGUCUGGUAGAUGAACAGUAUUAAAGUACGAGAGAAAUGAAAAAAUAUGCUUUAUCUAAAAGAAGAGAUGGUGGAAGUCUCCAGAUGGAUGGAAGUUCAUCACAUCCACUUAUGUAAAUCAUUUAACUGGAUUGGAUGGGGUAAAAGUUCAUUACAUUUGUCUUUGUAAUUAAUCUUCCCCCAUUCAAUGGAAUCAAUCUUCUGCAUUUUUUAAAAAAAAUGGUGGAAGUGUCUCCUUUAAUCAGAAUCAGCUGCCUUCAGAAGUCAAAAUUACAAUAUAAAUUUUUUUUUUUUUUAGAAGUUCCAGGAAGAAACAGUUUAAAACUAAAAGCAAAGAGAAGAAACUAAAAAUGUUAUUCCAGUAAAAGAAGAGUAACAUAGGCCUUGAACAUUGAAUUCUAUUCAACUAGGCCAUAUGCACACGUCCGUCUCCAAAGGAAUUAACCAGAACCAGGUGACAUCACAUAAGGAGUUAUUCACCUAUCUUGGCAUUAAAGUCAUCAAAACUUUCAGUCCAAAGUAUAACUUCACAUGUUCAGCACAGUGUGUUUAAAGCUAUAGUACCUGAUCCAGAUUCACCUUUUUAUUGAGUUAAAGAAUGUUAACCCAACAAUAUGUUCAUCCCUAUAAAAACAUUUCUCAGGAAUACAACUUGAAUUAGCUCUAUAACUAAGCCAAGACAGAAAUCAUAAACUAUUAUUGAUUCAAGUUGGCUAAUGACAGAAAUCAUAGAAUGAGAAGUCACAUCACCAUAAGUUAUAGUAUGUUGCCAAUUAUGAGCUCUAGUUUUACCCAAAAAUGGAUAUCUAAACCAGAUUAGUCACAAAAAUAAACAUCAAUACUCGAGAGCAAAAUAUCAUCCCAUAUCCUUAGUAACCGCCACUGUCAAUGUCAUGGCUCGAUAUACAAAUCAGAAUGGUCAUCUAGCAAAUCCAAUCCAUAUCAUGAUAUACAUACACAGAAACAUGUAAAUGCAUCAUUUAGUAGUCAGAGUAUGUUGACAGACAAACAUACCACAAUCCGCAGAGAAUGUGGAUCAUCAUCACGGUCUAUAAGCGCCAACAACAAAAUGUCCAGAGGCAGUAGCUCAUGGGUCCAAAUAAAAAAAGAAAGGUUUGCACAAGCUUUUAGCAUAAGAUCCUGAAGGAGGAAAAAUGGAAAAUUAAGCUCAUUGAGUAAAAAUUUGCAUCGCCAACAGAAAAAUGUCAACGGAAAAGAUGAUGAAAAUAAAGCGAAGCAAGCUGAUAGAAAAACCUGUGGGGAAUGUCCACGCUGUAGUUCCAAGUGAAUGUGAUGCAGUAGCACAUCCACCAUUGUGUAUAUAUUUGCAGUUACUUCUUCUGGAGAAAAUUCUCUUAAGACACGUCCCUGCAUUCCUUAGUAUGUGUUAAAUGGAGAAGAUUUAAUCAUAAUAGGAAAUACUGCCCAUAUGAAUGCUAAAAUUCUCCAUCUUAACCAGAAUGAUGGAUCUAGAAAGGGAGCUAUGUCUUACAAGAUUAGCACUGUUAAUGCUCUCAGGAUGUCCAUGCAUCAGCACCCAAGCACCAGCACACAGGUAUUGACGAUGUUGAGGGAAGCUAUGGCUUAUGUAAGUAACGACAUAGGAAGGAUCAGCUGACGGUGAAAGAAGCUGAGUGCAUUGGUUAAUCACUGUAGUUUCGGCCUGCCAAUAUUGAAUUUAAGUAUCAAGUCCCAGGAUCCAACAAAAAGAUAUAACUAUAUAUCUCUUACCUGUAUGUACUGGAUUUUAGUUGACAUUUUAGCCCAGAAAUUCAAAAUUCUAAAUAUGCAGUCAAUGAUGCAGUUUCACUGUUAGAUUCAAGCACAAAACUGUUGGCUUGGAAUUUAAAGAUAAUGUCAGCUCAGACCCUUUUUUAUCCUGUCUGGCACUUAAAAACUUAUAAUACGUUGAAAAUACUUAUUUAGUGUCCUCCAAACUUGAACACUGGAUUAUCACUUCAACCAAUUGCAAGUGUAACAACAGCUGCAAGUGGGGCAUGAAAAAAUAUUUAAUAUUUAUUUGUUAAACAAGUAAAACACAGAGGAGGAAUUACAUUAAGUAAAGAGUCGAACAAGAAAUAUAAGACUUUGUUUCAUGUAAAUGGGCUUGAUGACAUAAAAACUUGCAACAGCAUUGGAAUGCUGCAAAAUAUUCCUAAAACAAUGCCCAUCCCACCUCAUUGAUGUUGGGGGGGAUUAAUUGUGUUUGACAAGGAUCAUUUCUUUUGUCUUAAUUUUACUAGACGCCAACUUGUUAGCAUGCUUUACAGGAGGAGAUAACCAUAAAACUUUGAGAAGCCAUAAUUUCACCAUGAAGUAGUUGUGCCUUGUUCCAACCUCCUAUCCCAAAUUCACAAAGCAAUCUGUUCCAGGAGAGAAUUCAUUGAAUGCCGAGACUAGUCUAACUAAAUUCAGAAACAAAUGAAAAUUUAACAGCAGCAUAAGGGACACAAAAUAGUAACUUUUAUGGAAAGGUUUUCAUCAGUAAGGUGGAACCACUGCCAAAUGCAACACAUACACUGUCAUAUAGCCUGUAAAAUUAAAGGAAGGAGGAAAGAUGCAGUUUACCUGCUGCCAUGCUUGGAUUGCAAGGCCUCUUUUAUCCAUCCUCCCGGCCAAGGCAUCACGUAGGACAGAUGGAAAAUAACGCAAAGUCUUCUCAGACCAAGCAUGCUGACUAGUUGCCAAUAUUUGCUCCAACAUUGUUGGAAGAUAUAGCAAAUGAUCGAAGUCUGUAAUGCCACGUGUUUUAAUAAUGAUCGCCAAACUAGUUAUUGCUAUUCGGUUUAAAGUUUCGGUAAAGUCGGUUGGACCCUGCAUAAGCUUACGUAGUGAAAUUAAGUUUUCCUUUAGCAAAAAAAAUUAUGAAAUCACUCAGAGCCAUAAUUCUUACCUUCCCUUCCCUCUUCACAAGAAAAAACUCCUUCAAUGAUAAGAGCAGAUUCAUGCACAAAUUUUCCCCCAAUCUGAAAAUGCGAUGAUCUCCACGUUUCCCUUUUAGCGAAGAAAUCAUUUUUGUGAUGUCAUACAUCAAAUUUUUGCUCUUCCCUUGGUACCUGAAGAAUUAAACAAUGAAAUUUUUUCCUCAUCACCAUUUAAAUGGAUUUACUCUGAGAAGCUCAACCAGUGGUAAUCUAAACCAGCCCAGAGUUUGGAUCGAGAGAAGAAAUAUUCCAUUAUCAUGAUGAAUGUCAGCCUAUUAUCUAUUAUUUUUUUUAUAAUCUAUUAGUUUUAGUACAGUAAAGUCUUCUAGUUUCUUAUAAGUAGCGCCAGUACAGAAAGGAAAAUUGCUACCAAUCAAAAGAAGAAAACAGAAUUAUACACAGGCUGCUUAAUCACCUGUAAAGUGAAAGAAGGCGGUAGUUCAUAAUCUCAAACAACAGAAUGGAAGCACCAGGCUUUGUCAAAGUAGCAGUGUUCCUUUGAGUCAAAUGCUGUACUUGGCACAAAAAAAAUGAAAUGGUAAGUUAUAUAAGAAACUGGGGGAAGAAAAAAGAAAGAAACAGAGAGAAUGUCAUACAAGAAGCUAUCAUCCACUAAGCUUACCUACCCAAAGAACAAGAAAAGCUAUCAUCAAGACAACAUACUAAUCAAAGAAAUCCAGUAAAAGUUGUUAUGAUGUGGACGAUCUGAUUAUAAACAGAACUAAGGUAGAAAUGCAUUCUGAAAUUUGAAUCACCAAGCAAAUAAAAUGUGAAAACUUUAGAGGUCCAAUGUCAAGUUGGUUAAACAAUUGCUACCUAGAAUUAUGGUUCUCCACCAAUCCAAGGCCCAGACCCAAGCACAUCCAUCGUUAGUUCUUCAAUCUUCUAGUCUAUGUGGUUUAUAGCCAGGGAACCUUUUUGUGUUUAAAGUUCCACCAACUUCAAGUUGGCCAGCUACAACAGAAUGUUAUUUCACUAUAAACUCAAAGGCUACUAAACCACAGUGCUCCUAUGAAAAGGAAUUGAGAAGCUUAUGGUAACUGUUUACCUUCAGAUAGAUUUCUACCAGACAGAAGUUGCUAUGAGAAUAAGAACUAGUUAUUAAUUUCUUUCAAAAGUCAGGUCAGAUAUGUGUCAACCCUAUAGAUCGGAUAUCGUUUCCUCUAUGUCACCCUAACCAAGGGCCUGACAUUAAUUCCAACUUGUUGGAACUGAAUCCUUUCCAGAGGAACUGGCUUUCCGGCUAUGUCCAUUUAGGAAGCAAGAUAGCAUUAAUCUUAUCUAAUUAUCUGGAAGGCGGAACAGCAGAAACAAUAGAACUAGCUAUUUUUCAGAUAGACCACUUCCAAUAAUCUACAUUGCGAGGCUGUCAUCUUGUUUGUAUCUUUAGAGUCAACUUUAUUUAACCUAAGGCCCAUACAGGCUUCCACUUCUUUAGUUCCAUAAUAACAUUGUGCUUGAACUUUUCAUUAUGAUUCUAAUCUUCAACAAGUUCAAAAUCAUCCAACUCUGAGACCCCAGAUUUACAUAUGGGCAUCUAAGUACUUCAGUAAAUUCUGUUCCCAUCCUUGAGGUCAUCUCCAUCACAACGAUCUAGUUCCCCUUCCAAAUACCUUAAGAAACUUCAAGUACUAUGGUAUUUAUACCCAUCAGUGAUGCUGCCACGCUCAAUGUGACUGCAGUUCAAAAAUUAUUGACUUUUUUAUGAUGAAAAGUUUAAAUUAAAUUAGUAGUGUCUAUUUAAUAAGCAUACACAAUUUUUUAUAGCAGUACGUGUCAGAGAUAGAAAACAAAAAUUCUCUUCAUUAGAUAGGUAGUCAUAUAAUUAGAGAGUUAUUAUUCUAUGGAUGAUUUUUUUUUUUUGUUGAAAGUCAUUUUUGGAGUUAUAGCUUAAAGAGAGGAACUUUUAACCAAAAAAACAAAACUAAAAAGAGAAGAGAGACCCUCAGAUCAAACCUUUCUCUCCCUUCAUUAAUAGUAAGAUUCAAUUUCUAUCAUCCCAUUCAGCUAUAGCAUGACAUCAGCAAUCUCUUUCCUGCUUUUUUAAUUUGGUUGCAAUCGAGGGAAUGUAGAGCUCCAAAUUAAACAGACCCCAGAUACCAUAAAAAUCUAGGAUAGCAGAAGAGAGAACAUAAAAAUGAAGAAAACUUUCAUCAUCAUCUUCUUCUUCUCCUCUUUUUUUUGUUAAACUUUUUUUAGAAUCUUAAGUUUACACAUUAUUGCAAAUAUAUGUCAACAUAGCCAAAUUUCCAUGGUAUAUUACGCUCCAAAGAUCCAACAAGACCCAAAGAAGCCCAGUUAAUAAGGAACCCUGAUUAUACAAAAAUGUUUUCCAUCUUAACAACAUUAAAUUGAAUCAGAAGCCACAUAUCAGAAGUUAAUCAGGCAAUCACCAAGUUAGAAAGCAACUAUAUAAAUCUAUUCUUUAUUGAAAAGGAUUUCUUGGCCUCCACUAACGUACUACUAAUUCCUAUUCAUAAGAUUCUUUUACUAUACCAAGAAAAAAGAAGAAAAAUGAAGCACAUAAAAGAUAAUUGAAUGGUUAUAAUGCAACACUGUAAAUUGUUGCAGUGUCUCUGUUAUUUUAAAUCGAACAGGACCAAAUUUAGUCAGUUACCAAUUUAAGCAUCCCAUACAUGAAACCUAAGCUUAUGUCUUCAUUCUAUGUUUAGCUUUUCCUGAUAGCAAUGAAUAAACCUCAACUAUCCUCAAACGUGCAACUUCAGAAGAUGCAAAACAAAACAUCAACAAUUAGUUCACAGAAGAGAAGAUUCAGUUGUACAAAACUGGAAUUGAACUUAUGCGGUACAAUCAAUAAUAACUAGAUUGUCACUGAGUCCUUCACGGUGAUACAAUUUUCUUCGUUUAGUAAAUAAAUUGAGGUAAUAUGUAUGUACUAUUCCUCAUUGAACAAAUCUGUACUGCUGAACUAUAGAGUCAAAAUCAGAAAAGUGGUUUAUGAAAAUGUAAACAGCAAGUCAAAAGGAAACGUAAUUACAGUUAAGUGUGGACGGAACAAUGAAUGAGGGACAAUCAGCAGCAAUCUACAGUAUGUUUCCACCAUUGCAAUGUUUGGGAUGACCUGCAUCAAAAUCCUAAAGUCACAAAAAAAGAACUACAAUUUAUAAUGUACUCAUGGACCAUUAUUAGAAAGAUAAUUCUAUAACAACGUUUUGAGACACUAACACUCAAAUGCCACAAGCACCAGAAAAAUAGUAUUCCAUCUGUCCCAAAUCAAAUGUCUUGCCUGGCCCAUUGCAAAACUGAGUCCACUUUCCAUAAAUGGAAACUUGAAAUUCCAAAAUCCUCUUACCAUCCACAUACUUUUUAUACCUACAACUACAAUAAGGAACCACAUAUUCCCCAUUAUUCAUACAUUUCAAAUUACCAAUGCAGUAAAACCCACAUGUCUACCACCAGCUGCUUAUACUUAAUACUUGUGCCACAUUAAAAGUAGGACAUUCAAUUAGGGAUAGAGGGAGUAAUCUGGUCUACUUCUUAGUAAAGUAGGCUACCAAUUUUAUUAUAACAUGUCAAAUAGCAUAAGACAAACAACUUUUUUACAUAAAUGAAAAGAAAAGAAGAUGAGACACCCAUACAAUGGAGAAGCACCAAUUCUUUGCAGAUUCCCAAAGAUAACCUCUUCUACUUAUACCCUUGGCACCAGUUGCUCAAAUUUUGAAUAACAUCACUUAUGUAUAAUGCUUGACUUGUCAAACCUGAAUUUACCCUAUCCAAGGAAAUAGUUCCAUAAAGGUAGGAGAAAGAAGGCAAAAAACUAGAUGGUUGACCUGUCCAUUAAACAUAGAUUCUUCCAUCUGAAAUGUCAAUUUUAGGCAUAGGUUUAUGGAGAACCCCGAUAAUAGUGAUAUUGGCAGUGGACUAACUUCCCGCAUCACUGCAAUUCGCUCAUUAGCCUGCAGAUUUGACCCUGGUAACAGCUCCGUAACUCCAGCUGAUGCUAAAUAAUUCAUCACUGAUUCACAAGCUGGCUGUGCCAUGGUGUAAGACACGACCCAAAACAUACCAAUCGAUCUGUCAUCCAUAUUCAUAUAAUCCAGAGUCCGCUCACCUGAAAUUUGAUUACAAUAUGACCAAAAAAAUGUUAGAAGAGAAAAAGAAAUAAUCAAAGUAAGUAAAAUUAAACACUUCAAAAUGUCAAAUGGAUGGUAAGUCAGUCAGUAAACGAAACAAGUAUAAACAUUCUUACUUGGUAAAGUUUACUAUUUGCAACAAAUUUCUGAAAAUAAUGGAAACAGAUGGUACUUAAUGUUCCUGGAUAGAAAUCCAAAGGGUAUAGCAACCAAAAAAAUCUAGUAAAACAGCAAACAUGUAUGAAAAUAAAAUUAAAAAAAAAAUACCAAGACGCAUCUCUUUAAAAAAAGAAAACUAUAAAAAGAACAGACAGAGUCACUUUUCAACCAAUGACUCAGCUCUUCAAUAAUUUUAAAGAAGAUUUCAUUUGAUCAAGGAUGAUUAAGUCAAAUUUUCAAAGAAGGACACAUUCCAAUCUCAAUCCCCCACCACUACUCCCAGCAACAACUGGUCCAAUUAGGUGAUUGUAGUACAGUAGCAUAUUCUCCUAACAAGACUUUGCCAUGCAAUUUUGUCUUUCAUGAUCGCAGGAGCUACAGCUAAAAGUUAUAGACAUGAUGAACUUUAAAAACUUCAAGUAAAGUACAAGUGCAUUCUUGAUCUGUUCACUACCUUUAGUUGUUUGUCUCCACCAUUCAUCGAUUUGCUUUCCCUUCUGAAGCUGCUCAUUGUUUAGGUAUUCUCUGGUUGAUGUAUUCAACGACCAAAUCCUCAAGUUCUGACAACUACUUACGAAGUCAAGCAGGAUGCUUUGGGGAUUAUUUGGGUCAGAACUUGCCUCUUUAUGAAAUGAGAGAAUUUUCCUCGUAAUCUCAACCUGCCAGCAGAAAGCGGUUUACGAAAUAAUAUAGAAAAACACCCUUAAACUAAAGGUCGCAACAGGUUCUCUCAUGAUCAUUGGAUUAUACUACUCAAUCCACUCGACCAUUUGACUUAUGGCAAAUCUAUCCAACCUUUGGCCUACCUCUCGAUCAGCAUAUCACAACCAUGAUACCUAAGCCACCCACUACUCUUUCUCUUCUAUUUCCUUUACCUUUGAACCCCAAAGAACUUCCCCCAAACCCCUCCGCCCCUAAAAGUCCGAAAUCAGAUUUCUCCUGUACACAUGACCAUCAUCCUGUUACAAGCUUACUAAGUGCUCAACUCAAAGGGAAAAAGUACUCAACUCAAAGAACUAAUGUCCACCCAACAGUAAGGAUGCCAAUAUUCUAUUAUGCACUCCCACCCUCUGGUAUGUAUGAAUGAGGAUAUCAAAAUUACCUCUCAUGUGCUUUUGCACAUAAGAUUAGUACCAUACAUGUUUUGAACAUUUGUAUUUGGGCAAAUUCUUUUCUUCCUUCUAAAAUAGACCACUAGACCAGGGCAAAUUAAAGAACUACAUUCUUAAAAAAUCAUAAUCAGAUCAAAUUAGGAUUCAGAUAUCCGCCGUAAGAAACUUUCUACAUCUAGAUUUCACAUGUCCAGGCUUAAAGACUUAAAUUUCAAAAAAAAAUGAUGGGAGAAUCAGAGUGCUAACUCCUCUAAACAAGAAAAAAGAUGACAAGUAGACAUUUUCAAUAUUAAGAUGAAUAAUAAAUACAUUUUUCGAAAAUAAUCAGAGCAAGAUCAAUGCAGUCCAUGCAUGGAAUUAAGACAGAAGAAAGCUAAGUGAUGGAAUUAAGACACAAGAUAGCCAAGUGAUGGAAUUAAGACACAAGAAAGCCAAGUGGCUCAAAAGUUUAAGACCACCUUUCUUGAGUCUGAAUUUAAAGCAUUCAUUACUAGCUCAACCCGAAUAAUUUGGGUAAGCAACCAUGUAACGUGGUUUGUCCUGAGGAUAUGCUGAUCACCAUCCUGAAGCCGAGAAACCAAUUUGUCCACAAAGUCAACAAAAUCAAGACAUCCGUUUUUCGCGAGAAAAAAGAAUACGUCUGAAAAGGUAAGCCACUCUUGCCAGCAAUUUAUCUCUGCCAAAUAAAGUUAGAGCAAGGCAAAGUUAACAAUUGGAAAAGAAAAAGAAAGAAUAAGGUAUUUUGAAAAAAUUCAAAACAAAAGCAUAAAAAAGAAGAAACUAAUAGAAACAAUUUUCAUUAGAUGUGGAAGGUGGGGAAACUAUCUACAAAUCCUAUAUUAUCAUUCAGGUGCCAGAGAUUUGCUAACUGUUGGCUAUAGAGCCAUUUCAUAUAAGGACAGAUAAUUCACAUCAUUCAUACUGCUGACAUGGUAAAGUAAUGCAACUCCAAUUCCAAUCUUUUGUUUCCUUCCCGAAACAUUUCUUUAGGUUCAUUGUAUAGGAAAAUCAACACUACAAGUAUCAUGCUGGAGAUCAAAUAGAUGUAAAAGUAGCCAUCCAGAGAUCAGGACAUGCAACUGCAAGCAUAAAAACAAAGCUAACGGACAGAGAUUUACAAAUUGCAGAAAAGUCCCCUUCCCACAACUCAUAAAAAACUAAUGAUCAGUAUCUCCAGUUCAUCGCUUCAGAGAUAAACUAACAGCAUUUCUAUCAGUAAAGUGCUUCUUUCAUGUACCACAUGAUGUUGUGUUGAUCCCAGUUUAAAAAGAGAAAAACAGGUAUAACAUCAAGGAUGAGAAUAUUGCCUGAAUUUGUCAGCUUCAAUAAUUCAGCAAUCCGAUCAAUUGUAGCCUCACUAAUCAUUUCAGCAGUAAAGACAGCACCAGGAGUUGGUGCUUGAGCUUGAAGCCUGUAACAGGGAGCUAGAAGAAGCACACGCUUCCACCAGUCAAGUGAUGGUGUAUUACGAAGAGCAUGUCUUAUGCAACGAAGAGCACGCUCCCAGUCCAAAGUUCCUCUCUGAAUGGAUACUGCAAUAUCCUAAAUCGAGAAGCAAAAUAUUGAAAAGAAAGAAAGUGUUUCAACUCUCCUAAUUCAGUUUCUGAAGACAAACUAUUCUACAAUUAUACAAGAAAACCCUAUUGACAAUUCAAAACUUGACAGACAACCCUCAUGGAAAAGUCCAGUUGAAUCUAAGUGUCUUUUCUUGUUUCUUAUUUUGUCUGACAAUUCCAGUUUAAAACAUUAUCUUAAAACAAAGACACCUCAUUAUGGCACGUAGUUUUGCAUGCACCUUUACCCGUUUUACCCUGGAGUAUAAAACACAUAGCAAGUAAAAAAAUAAUAAUGGAAAUAAGGAAUCCACAUUUUAUAUAAAAACAACUUAAAAGCAUCUCAGAUAUAUUGUCAAUCAGUUUUAGUUGGCCUUUCGUGACCAGUAUUGUCCAACCAACUAUACCAUCAAGUGUGUUUUUUAAAAUGGUCAUCACAGAAAAUCCAGAACCAUAAUCUUCUCAAGAAAUUAUCUACUUACCCAAGUAAAGUUGUAGGUUACAUAUUUGUACAUUCAAGUUCUUGAAUAAACUUCAAUCAGUUUAACACUUUAGAAGAGUUCAUACAGAAGGCAAUAAGCUAUUAAGCAAACAGAACAUGAGGUCAUCAAAGUUCAUCAUCAUAGGAAAGAAAAGGUCAUUAUUGAUUACCUCUCCAUGCAGUGGUUCUCCAAGCACACUUGGGUAUGUAAUUGCUGGAUAUCUCAUGUGAGUUGCUGCUUCACCUGAAAUGUUAUUCAUCGCCUGAGGAAAAAGCCUAGGAGUUCCAAAUGUAGGACAAUGAAGAUGUUGAUCCAACAUUUGCAUGUGCAUGGCCAUCAUAUCUCGCCUUUUGUGGAUCUCCAAAAUAAGUGUGAACAGUGCCUCAUCAUCUGGAAUAUUUUCUAUGACCUGCAAGUUACUUCGCACAAGUUCAUAAAAAGGUAUACGGCAUUUAUCAUCUUCGACUAACAGCCAUAUCACAUCUAAACAACUAUGGAGCCAUUCAAUCAGUGCCUUGUCAGGUUUCCAGUAUCUUGCACUGUCAAAUUCAUCAAUACCCUGCUGUUUUUGGUCCCAGUUGAUAAUCCAAUUUAACAGAUGAGAGAAAACAUCAGCAUGGGUAGAUGGCUUUAGGUUAAAUUUUAGGCCGAUUAAGAUUAUCUUGCAACACAAGUGGCGCAAGUUGCUCAUAGAAUUGUCCCUUGUAAUUAAGUUGAUUCUUGAAUUUGAUUGUUGACCGCCACCAACAUCAGGGGACUUCAUUGGUGAUUGUUCUGCAACUGAUUGAGCUGGGGAUCCAAUACAGUGAACAGAAGGCAGAGGAGAUGCAGGACUUGAUGACUGAAAAUUGGUGGGAUUAGUAACCGUGCUGGAAGGUGGCAACACCCCAGACUGUGUUAAAGUCGCAGAAGACACAGUAGCCCCUGAUUGGCUUCCUUGACUGAUUGAAACCUCCACAGAAGAAACUGAAGAGAGAAGAGAUGGCAAAAAAGUAUCCCAGUUUAUGUAACUUAUGCUAGAGAGACUGUGCAAUGCAAAAAGAAGAAAUUCUGCUCGGGGUGCGUGACUUCUACACUGAAUAACCAGAGAUAUAAGAGUAGAUUCUGUCAAAGCACGCAGUUGAUCCUGGUCCUGAAGGAGAUAACAUAUAAGAACAAUACAAGUCUGAAUGCUAAUGGGCCAGUAAAAGAAAGGGAUCACGAAGCAUAAGUGAUUUUAAACUUAAUCUCACUUGAAAUUGACUCAGUAGCUGCUCAAAAUCUAACAGGAACUGUUCAUUUCGAGGUGGCAGAUCUCUAUUGAGAGCACUAAUGCGCUUCUGUGUCUUGUUCCUGUUUAUCAAUACAAAUUGUAUUUUAAAAAUCAAGUGAUAAAAGAAUGUUUUCAAAAGCACUAAAACACUAACUUAUGCCCUGAUGCUAGCUAGAAGCUCACAGGAUGGAAGAGGGUGAUUUACAAGUUCUCAUCCUUGCGAAAUUACCAUGCAAUAUUUGCAAGAUUAUACAUUACAGGAUAAAAUAAAAUUUCCUUAUGGCUACAUGCAAUAUGCUCAAUUUGCUAUAAUUCAAGUGAUAUAGAAAUAAAAGAAUGAGAGCGAUUUUAUAAUUCAAGUGAUAUAGAAAUAAAAGAAUAAGAGCGAUUUUAUAAUUCAAGUGAUAUAGAAAUAAAAGAAUAAGAGCGAUUUUCAGGGUCCAGUUUAAGUCUAUAAAAUAAUUGUGGAAAAAGUUGUCAGACUGAAGUAUUUAAUAAGUAAUUUUCACUUUCUUGCACAAUGAUUUCUAACCUAGAAUGCACCAGUUCCCUACCUUAAAAGCAUUUGCAGGCAAAUGAAACACUUAUAUUCUACUGCACAACAAAGUUUACCUAGAACAGACACCAAUUCCCUAUCUUAAAAGCAAUUUGCAGACAAAUGAAACACUUAAAUUUUACUGCACAACAAAGUUAAAUGAACUAAUAAAUCAAAAGUACUGAAAAAGAUGUCAGGCCAUAAACUAGAUGUCAAAUGCAAGUUAAUUAUUUGUAUAACAUAAGUAAUGAUAAGCCAAAUCUAUUCCAGUUCCGGUUAACUAGGGACAACUUUGACCACUUACUGGAGACCUUGCAUAUAAGAACAUCUCAAGUCUCCACCUAAUAUCAACCUCCUUGGUUUGCAGUAAAUAAAGUUGAUGAGAGAUGUUGAUGGCCACCAAACAGCAACCAGAGAAAUGUCUGAGAACCAUCAAAAAGAUAACAUGCUACAUGCUACCAAAUGAUGACUUUCACCUAUUUUUCUUUUUUCCCAACUCAACAACAAAUACAGCCUUUCACGAUACAGAGAGAGAGAGAGAAUCCUAUCCCUCUGUCAUACAUGUCUGAUCAUCCUUUUACACAUCAAACAAUCACAUCAUGUCUGGACUUGCCUAAAACCUGAGUCAACCAACCUUUCUAACUAGUACUGAGGCUUUUAUCUAUCAGCCAACCCUGCAUGCUUCCUUCCACUUUUACAUCUGGACUUAUCCACUUCCUGCAAAUGACUGAUGACUUCUAAACUAAAUUAGUCCACCUAAACAAUUAAUCCUCCAACCAAAACACAAAAGACUUGUAAAAAUUGAAACUUAGGCCCACAAAUGAGUCACAUCAAUGGCACAUCAACUCCUUUAUGAACCAAAAAUGAUCUUAACGAAAAGACAACUAUACAAAACAUGUCAAACCUAACAAAAAGAUUACAAGAAUCUAUAAAGAAAGGAAUUUUUUAUCACAUCUUAACAACACAUAGAAAAAAAAAACCCCAAAGGUUUACCUAAUUUUUCCUAUAACAAAUAAAUGAUGAAAUAAACACAAACUCCAAUCAGAAGAAACUACAUCCAAGGCAUGGAAUACAAUUAUUAUCAUGAUUUAACCAAGAGUUAGUUUUACAAAUAAAUAAUCAACCUACUUCAUUCCAUACAGCCCUCGAAAAUCAAAAUAACUUCCAUGUCAAACUUAUCAAAACCCAUGAUUGAAACAAAACUGCAUAAAAGAUUCUACAUACGGUGGUUCCCGGGCUGAUUCAUCCGAUUUUUGCUGUGCAGUUCUCUGCCAAUAAAAACCCACAACACAAAAAAUGAAUCAAACGCAAAUCGUGCUGCACCAUUGAAAACAGCAGAUAGUAAACAAAAAUCAUAGAUAAAAAACUGAACUUUAUACUAAUUUCUAUCUUUCCUGAGCUUUCUUUCUCUGACAACUAAAACACUCGACACAAGAAUGCAAUCAAACAUAAUUAAGCAAUACCACACAAAUCAGAACAUCAGUAAAGCAAGAAACAAUAUAAAAAACUUCAGCUUUCUACUGGUACUAUUUAUGGUUCCUGAGGUUUCUUUUUCUGCCAACAAAAGCCCAAAAUAUGAAAAUGCAAUGAAACAUCAAAUUACGCAAAACCAUAGAAAAUAAAGCAAAAAUACAGUAAGAAAACGGAAUAAAAAUUUGAACUUUAUAACAUUUAUGUUUUGUGGGAUUUUGUUAUCUUACUCCUAAGUAAAGAUUGAAAAGGUCGAGGAUGGCUGGUCUGGCAGGGUGAAAUUGAAGAGCCCUUGAAGUAGCAGACGUAGAAGAAGAACUGGGAUUGUUUCUUUGACCAUUCUGCAUCUGCUGCUGCUGUUGUAGCUGCUGGUGAUGGGCUGUGUUCUGGUCCAUCAUCAUACCACUGUCCGAGGUUGUUGGGGUCUGAUUCGAAACAUUCCCACCCCCAAGAGUUCUAAACAUGGUGGCUUUUCAAGAAUUUGUGUAUAUGUUUCUCUUUCUCUGCAAAAUUCAAAUGUUUAAUUAGCAAAAUGACCGACUUCUACAAGAGUUUACACAGAAUUUUACUCAUUCGUGUUUUUUUUUGGGGCUUUUUUGGUGGGAUUGGAGCUCGUGAAAGUGAUGGGUUUAACACCUGGUAAGGCUGGAACGGGAGAAAUUUUUUUGGCUAAUUAGACUUAGUGCCCCUGAGUCUUAACCAAACUACAAGUCAGAUGUUCAGGUAUCUCCAAAUUUCAUGCAUCUCCUGUUAGAGUGUACAAAAUAAGAAGGUUGAAAUUCCUGAAUGAGCAUUCGCUGAAGUAGUGAAUUGUCAAACUAUCUAAAGAAGGCCUAACUGGAAACCAAAAAAAAGAGUUAAUCAUAUUUACCUCCGUUAAAGUUUUAUUAUACUACAAGUUAGGCCUAAAGUUUGAUCAAAUUACAUAAAUUUCCUUAUCACAAUUGCCCUCCAUCUAGAGAAGGUAUAUACGAGCAAAAAAUUGUAGCUAGUAGGGAAUUUAAAUUUUUAACAAUAUAAAUGAAAAUAUAAAAUUGAAAGAAUGAGAGGCGUAGAGGAUUUAAAAAAAAAUACAAAUACCAAAACAAAGAAAGAAAAAUGAAAGAGGUGCUUAGUUCAUACUAAUAAAUUAGAUUCAUAUAUAAAAUAUCAGCAUGGGCUUUAUACAAGGAUUUUAUUCUAAUUAGUGCUUGGUAAUAUUCCUGAGAAUGGUUAUCAAAUUAAAUUGUUUCUUUUUUUUCUUUUGUUCAACUGAAUAAAAUCUUCAUGAUCAACUUCAACUCUGACAGGUAUUUAUCAAACUAGCAAAUAUGAAUAACCAAGGAGCAAUAAAUCUGAACAGCUAGUUGUAUGGUUUUUUUUUUUGUGUCGUAAUCGCACAUCUACUCUAAUCUAACAUACUCUUACUCCUAGGGGUGGCAAUUCGGGUCCAAAUCAGGUUGGCGAGUCGGGUCUGACCCGACCCGUCAGAAAAUUUGUUGACCCGAACCCGACCCGUCAACCCGUGAAGGGUCAGGUAUACUGAUCCGAACCCGAAAAUUUCAGGUUGACGGGUUGGCGGGUCGACCCAAAAUGACCCGAAACUUAAUUUUAAUUUAUUAAUUUAUCACUGUAAUUUCUAAUAAAAUUAAUUUCUCACAAAACUAAUUACAUAAUCAAGUAAUAAAAAUUUUAAUAAAUAAUUCUAAACCAAAUCUAAAAUAAAUUAAACACCGUAAAAGUGUUUUAUCCCAAACAAAAUAUAAAAUAAAUUAAAACAGUAUAAAAGUAAAAAAUAAUAUAAUAUAUUAUUUGUCCAAAUAUAAUAAUUUCAACUUCACACAAAUUAAAUAAAUUCAUUUAGGAUUAAGUAAUUAAUGCCUUUGAAAAAAAGAAUAACUUAGUUUAGUUAGAUAAAAUUAUUUUUAUGUUUAUUAAAUUAUUUUUAAUUCGUAAACGGGUCAUAUCAUGUCACCACGGGUUAACCCAAAAUCGACCUGUUUUCUUUUCGGGUUCAUCGGGUUCAACCCGAUUCUGACCCGAAUUCCCGAAACCUCAACCCAAACCCAUUAAUUUCGUGUUAGGUUUGUGUCGUGUUUUCAGGUCGUGUCGAAAAUUGCCACCCCUACUUACUCCUACCCCGGGGGGGAGGGGGGAAAAUCUACUAUAUGGGGUGGUCCAACUGAACCGAGGGAACAUGACGGGGACUGAACCACCAUCAGACUAAAUGGGUGCACCACAUAUCAGUAUGAAUUUAGAACCACCAUCUAAUUGUAACGUUUAAGCGUGAAUUAAUUGAUUUCUUGUUCCCCUUAGAAGAACAAUGGUUGUGGUGGGGAUUGGAAAUGUUUAGAAAAAAAGAAUAUGAGGAAAAGGUUAACAGGUGAAAAAGAAAGAUAUUUCAGUGAAAGUGAGGCAUAAAACGAGUAGUAUGAGAUGACUAGCAAUAGAAGGGAAGUGAGGUUAGGAGUGAGUGAAGAUGAGAGAUAGGGGAAAGAAAAGGUGAUAAUAGGAGGUAGAAGGUGGAUAGGAUUAGGCAGCAAUGGAGUAGAAAAGAGAUAAAACUGGAUGGAGGGGCAAGUAGUAGCAGUAGGAAGCCACAAAAAUGCAAAGAGGAUGGGAAAGAAAGAAAGAUGUUUUUAUUAAGAUUACUUUUUUCAAAUUUUAGAAUCAAAUUUGAGAUUCAUCAAAAUCUCUAAAGUGGGUGCUAAGAGGUGCUGGCUUUAUAGAUUUUAUUCUAAGAUUUUAAUACAUGUACCUAUUAGCCACGCAAUAAGUAUGAGAGUCAUUUUAAUUCUCAUUCCAAUAUUUUUCAAUGAAGUACCCCUAACAAGUUAAAAAAAUAAAGAACAAAACUCAAACAUAUGUUAAAAUAAAAAAUUUCUAAUUAUCAUAAUAAGGGUUAAAUACUCAAGAAUAAAUAUAGAGAAGGAGAAAAAAUCUUACAAACUGAGUAAACAAAAUAGAGAAACCACAAGAAGAAAGAAAAUAAUCACCUUUAAAACUAGAAGUGAAACUAAUAGGGAACUUAAACUCCACUCUGCAAUUAGAUUCUCACAACGCUAUUUCAUGACAAGUGAUGAUACAAACCCAAAAUUUGAAUCCUUGGAUCGAAUGUGGACAUUUGACGUGGCAUACAUGUCAGAAAAGUCAAAUCACACUCUUAAGUCUUUUUUUUUUUUUACUCCAUUUUCUCUUUGUUUCACUCUUCUCUGUCUUUUUUCACUGUAACUACUUCCCAAUUUCUCUUUUUUCCUCCUCUACCAUCUCUAUCACCAGUCAAUACUAUUUUCUUCCUAGAUAUACAAACUAGCUCUCCUACAUCCUAACGGAAGAUAUAGAAGGAGAUACUUAUUGAAUAAAGAAGAAGCACACAUAACUAAAUAGAAAUAGCUCAACAUUUAAACUAUCCAAAAAUCUCAAUUUUAUCAUGAAUCAAAUCUUCAUAUUUGUUUGACAAAUAAUUUUUUCAUUCCUACAUCUCGAAUUUGCAAACAAACCAACAAAAUCAUCUUUCUAAUACUAAUUUAAAAACCUUUUAUGGUAGUCAACCAGAAUCAAAGCCUUUAAUUAUUGUAAUUGUUUACGACAUUCUAGGCAAAAUAGGUUGAGGGCAAAAAAAUAGAAAGAGCCAUUGUUUAGGCAUUUUAGGAAGAAGUUUUACUGUUAUGAGUAAACUAGCUUAUGAUAUGAUAAAAGCGAAUUGAUGUCGGGAGAGAUCCGAAAAUUGGUAAGAGAAUUGAUAUGAAGGGAUGGCCAAGAAAAAUUAGAGUAAUUACUCAAUGAGUUGAUACCAUGGCUGCAGUUCAGGGAGAGAAUUAGGGUUUUGUUUGGAUUACCAAGUAUGUCAAAUACAAGUUUUUAUUUUUGGAGUCUACUGUAAUACAUUUCAAAACCACCCCCAAAAACACUUCAAAAAUGUAUAAUCUUAAAUAUAGCUAUCAAAAAAAUGAAAAAUAAAAUAAACCUACCACCUGUAUCUUCUUCUACCUACUACCUACUAUCCGCUUCAUCUUCUCCGCCACCACCAUUUCCCACUCCUCUCUUCUCCUUCUCUCUCUCUCUCUCUCUCUCUCUCUCUCUCUCUCUCUCUCCCUCCCUCCUCUUUCCUCUUCCUCCUCUUUCCUCUUCCUCAUUUCCUCAUUCCUUUUCCCUCAUCUCCUCUCUCCUUUUUUUCCCAUUCCCUUCCCUUACCUCCCCCUUUGAUUGUAGGUGGGUCGUAAUAGUCGUGGCCAGUGAUCAAAGGAGAAGGGAGAAGAGAGGAGUUAUAGAGAAGGGAAAGGAGGAAAGACGAGAAAAUGAGUAAGGAGGGGAGAGGCAGAUAAGGAGAAGGGAUGGUGGUGGUGAAUGAGGAAUAGAGGAAUGGUGAUGGUUGUUGUAGGAAAUUUUUAAAAAAUGCCAACAAUACCUAAUUCAAAUGGACCAUUUAUAGUAAAAAGUUUUAAAAUACAAUACUAUAAUAAAGUUUUUAAAAAAUAUCUCAAAAAUACUUAAUCCAUACGAAUCAUAGGUUGUGCUGCCAAUUGAGGUUGGUAAUGUUUUUAGAAUUGAAAAUUGCUAAAAUUAACUCAAGAAAGGGAUCAAAAAAGUUAUCUAUGUAGUGCCACAUCAAUUGGCUGUUAUAAUGUCCAAAUGACCCAUUUAGACUGUUUAUCAUUUUCCUUUCAUAAUUCAUCUUCCUCAAUUAUCAUCUUCUUAUAAUAAUAUUCCAUGCAAAUCUAGUUUUUGUUUUCCUUCUCCCUCCAUGCAAAUUCAAUUUUUGUGUUCAUCCUUCCUCCGCCAUCUAUAGGCACUUAAUAUAUUCACUUUUUAUGAUCAGUCAUACACAUACUAGAAAUAGCAAGAAAUUAUACGAAUAGAUGUUUAUGAAAAUUACUUAGAUUCACAAUUCCGUUUCAAUUUGCAAAUAGCAAUUUCUAGACUUUUUUACCUUUUGCAUAUGGACAUUGAUAGCUAAAUUUAUUGCAUUUCCCUUAUUUUUGGAAGACAAUAAGAUUGUAGUUUAGUCUUUGAUAUUUAAUGGAGUUAUUUUGUUCAAUUAUAUGAAAUAUGUUUUUAGUGUGUGGUGUUGAUUAAGAGAGAUUGCAAUUUGCACAUGAAGAUGGCCGAUGGUAUUCUGAUCUAGUUACUCGUAUUGUUAUUGAAUUAUUGUGAUGUUAGGUUUUCAUUAUAAUGAUAGUAAGGAAGAAGAUGAAGAUCACGAUUUAGAAUAAAGAGUCUAGGUGCAUAUAGCUUUUUAGGACUUCCAUUACUUCUCUAAUAUUAAGAAGUAAGAUUAAUGAUAAAAGCAAUAAGAAUAAAAUUGCAACAAAAAAAGAAAAUAAAAACAAUAGAUUUCAAAAAUAAAUUUGAUAAAAAGAAAGUUAAUAAGAAAAAAAGUCUCAAUUGUUGUUUCAUGAUUUAUUCUCCUUGAACACCAUUUUUCUCAUUCCUGUUUUCUUCAUUCUCUCUAUAUUUUCUCUAUUUUCUUUUUGUUCCUUUGUUUUCUUUUGCCCUUUCCACAAAUUAAUAAAUGAUUAGUUGCAAUUAUAGUAAACUCAAAUAGCAAGAGAUUAGAAAAUAAAUGAUCAAGGAACCAUUUGACACUCACAAUUUGAUUCUGAUUAUAGAAAAGCAAGUGAUAAUACCACAAUUUGUACAGCUCCAAUUUUAUUUUCAUAGCAAUUUAGGUUACAAUGCCUAUAUUGCCCUCAUAAAAGUAAACAUCAACUUAAGGGAUUGAUUGUUUCUCUUUCCUUUCCUUUCUUGUCGAUGAAAACAACAAUUCUUCUCGACAUUUUCUUUUAUUCCUUCACAACCGAUUUAUCUUCUUUCACAUACCCAUCACCACCACAUCAAUUUCCCUUCUCUCAUACUACCUCCGCUUUUCUUUCUUUUGAACUUUAUGCUCCUAGCCAAAUCUUCAUGGCUCCGUUUGAAUUAGUUAUUUUUGAAGGUGUUUUUGAAAUAUUUUACUAUGGUAAUGUAUGUGAAAAGCUUUUACUAUAGAUAUUUUUAAUGGUGUUUUUAGGGUGUUUUUGAAAUUUUUUUUUUGGAUAUUUUUAAGAUUUAAAAUUUUAAUGAGAUAUUUUUAAAAUUGCAUAAAACCUUACCACCACCCCUUCCCUCCUCCCUCCUCUUCCCUCUUUCUCUCCCAUAUUUUUUGGGAUAUUUGGGAUGUAUUUUGGGGUAUUUUUAUAAUUAAAAAUAUGUUUGGAUACUUUUUAAAAAAUUUACACCACUCACCACCACUAUCCAUCUCUACCACUGCCUCCCUCCUCCUCCUCCCUCUUCUUUCUCUCCCCUUCUUCCCUUUUCCCUCUCUUUCUCCUUUCUCCCCUCCCCCUUCUAUUCUUCCCUUCUUCUUCCUUCCUCUCUUUUUCCUUCCCCUUCUCCCGUCCCUACUAGACUCACCUGGAGAUUGUUGGCGCGACCUUCUAGGUCAUGACCAGAAAGGUCACGCCAAUAGUAGCGCUACCUUUUUGGUCGCGAUCAGAUCUGGUUGCGACCAGAAACUCAUGACUAGUGCAACCAAAAGGUCACAGCUAGAGCUGCUAUUGGUUCUUGGAAGACGAGAGGAGAGGGAGGAGGAGGAAGGAGAAGGAGGAAGGAGAAGGAGGAGGAGGAGAAGGAGAAGAGUAGGGAAGAAAGGAGAAAAAGGAAGGGGGAUGAGAGAGGAGGGGAGGAACAACGGUGGAGGUAAUAGUGAUGGUGAAGGAGAGAGAAGGGAGUGGUAGAUGGUGGUGGUGGGUGGUAGUGAUCGGAGGAAGAAGAAAAGGUGAUAGGAUUUAUUUGUUGUAAGUUGUAUUUGAAAUAUAAGGAGUGUUUUUUGGUGGUAUUUUUGGAGUGUGUUAUUGUAGAUUUGUAGAUAAAAAAUAAGUAUUUCAAAAACUCUCAAAUAUUUUUCCAAUUUAUGUUUCUAGGAAUAAAAAUUCUUGCAAGUUCAUAGUAAAUUUCUUUGAUCAAAUUAGAGUGAUGCCAUGGGCUUUUACAUUCUUUUGUGUUUUAGCUUGGGAUGAAAUUUUAUGAAUACAACUGAUAGCAAACAACUCGAUUCCCUAUGCACUUUGUUGGAAAGAAUGUCUUGCUUAAGUUUUCUUCAGGAAUCAGGCCCUUUUAUUUGAUUGCAAAGUCAAAGGUCUUGAAAGUUAAAUCUCCUAAUAUCUUUGUCCUGCUAGAAAUUUCUUUUGUAUAUGUGUCAAAAAAAAAAAAAACUUAGACGUGUUCCCUUUCAUUGAAACUAUGGUUUAGGGAGAAUGGUAUAUGAGACUUAUUCAUGGGCAGAGGAGAAGGGAUAGAGGCAUCAGCGUAUUGCAAGGUAGGAACUAGAAUAUGAGAAAAAGGGCAAAAAGAAAGAGAAAUAAAAAGGCAUGAAUGGCGGGAAUGUGCCUAUAGUGUGGUUGGUAGGGUACAUGCAAUUUGUGAGCUUUGUAUUGACUUUGAUAGGAUAUUAUGAGUAUUAAAGAUAAUAUUGCUAUGAAAAUAAAAUUGGAGAUGUGGCAUUAUCAAUUGCCUAAUACAAAUAACAGGAUCUUGUUCCUUUUUUAAUAGAUAUUAAUAGUUGAAUAUAUAGUUUUUUUUUUAGAGGUUUGUACUUUGGACUUAAUGUCUAAUAGAGUUCUUUUGUUAGAUAAAACAGGGUUUGGAAAUAAAGUCAUUAGCCUUUUUUUACUCGUUCAUUCUAGGUAUAAAUUUUUGGUAAUCGGACUAAAUUAAAAGAGAAUCACAAAAGGAAUAUUGAUGACAACCAGAUUUUAGUUGUCAUUAUUUGCUAUUAUGGUACUAGAGUGUUAACGGAGAAAUCAAAGAGAUCUGGCUAAGGUUUUAGGUAAAUGGUAUUUUGAAAUUUUUAAUACAUUUUAUCAACAUUAAUUGGUGAUAAGAAAUCAAUUUUAGUAGCUAAGAAUAAAGGUCUCUUUAUUAUAGAUUUGUGCAUUUGAAAACAAAUUUUGCUAUUUGAUUAAAUCUCAAGGUCGUACUUAUAGUUUGGCUAAAUUUGAGAGGAGGUAAAUAAUUAACCGCUCUUUUGAACGUCAAAUAACAAUAAUACUAAUUUACAUCUAUAGGUUGGAAAGAGAUAGUGGACUUAACGGGACCAUGGCCCGCAAAAACCAGAAGGAGAGAGCUUUUCUUAAGAUUUGAAAAGUAUACUAUUGCACACAAAUUUAACUUGUAAGCUAUAGCUACUCAAUGGGAAUUAAUGUGCAAAAGCUGUGGCAUUCAUGGGGAUUUAAUGUGCAAAAGGUGUGGAAUUCAACAUUAAUGUGCAAAAGUUUUGGUAUGGCAUAGAAUAGAGUAUGUAGAUUAGGGCAUUCGUUUCUUGACCUAUAGUUGAGGAAGUAUCCAAGUGAUAUCCUGGUGCUUUGGUUGGAUACUGUGAUUAAGGAAAGAAUUUAAGAUAUGGCUCUGUUUGGAUUAGUUAUUUUUCCCAUAAACUGUUUUUAUUUGUGGAAUCUCCAGUUAUAAAUACAAAAAAUAACUUUUAGAAUACACAAUUUCAAAUACAACUUACAAAAAAAGUAAAAGAUAAAAAUAAAUCCUACCACUUUUGGUUCUUUCACCUAUCACACGGCACCGCCGCUACCCCUUCCCUCCUCUCUCCUCCAUUCUUGCCAUCCUCCUCCGUUGCCAGUACCUUCUCCUUCUUUCUCCUUCCUCUCCCUCCUCUCCUAUCCCUCCUAUAUCAUUUCUCUUCUCGCUUCCAUUCUUUUCCCUUUUUCUACUAUUAUUUUCCCUUCUCUUCCCUUGUCGAUCCCUUCUCCCUUUUUCCCCUUCCCUUCUCCCAUUUUCCUAUUUUGGUCAUGACUAGAAAGAGAAGAAGAGGGGAAGAGGAUGGUGGGAAAAGAGAAUAAAAGGGGAAGAGGAAAGAGAUGGUAGUGGCGGAAGAGAGUAACGAUGGUAGAGAAGGAAGGAGAGAAGGGUGGAGGUUAUUUUAAAUAAAUUUACAAAAAUAUACAAAAAAUUUAAAAUUUUAAAAUAUUCCAAAAUAUAUUCUUAAAAACAUAGAAUCCAAAUGAACCAUUUACCGUAAAAGUUUUUCAUAUAUACCGUUACAGUAAAAUUUUUGAAAGGUACCACCAAAAACACAAUGCGAAAUCAGAUUUUAAUGUAAAAUAGUUUUUGAAAAAUACUUUCCCAAUUUUUGAAUGUUUGUUUGCAUUAGAAUUUAAGCGAGCAUUUUCUAAUGAAAAACUUUUUUUAUACCAUUUGCUAUAGAACAACUUUAGCAAAAAUGGUUUUCAUAUGGUUGUAUUGGCUAUUGGCCACAUCAAAACUCUUUUAAAAACAAAACUUUUUCAACUAUGCUUUAUUCUCUAAGUCUUUGAUCGUCCAAUUAUUUGGUAAGUGACUCGUUAUUGGCUAUUCCAUUCUCAGAGGCACAAUAGUGACUUUACCUCUUUUCAGUUGAGUACAGUGAGUUCAAAUUUUUCGAUAUAGCAUUGUUAUUUUUUCUUUCAUUCACAUUGACACACACAAUCUGGAGACAUGUCUCACCAGAAAAGGUAAAACAUUCGAAGAUAUCAAAGCUUUAGAUCCAGAAAGCAAGUCUUCCCUAGAGAUUACCUAGGAAAGAAGAGGCAAAAAACAUGAAAAGAAGAAAAGUUGUCUACAAUUCAAUUAGCUAUAAACAACUAUCUACAAGGAAGAAUUUGAUAUUUUCAAAUAUGACCAUUUUUUUUUGUGUACAAUUGUUUGAAGGGGUGACAAGAAUUUGUAGUCUUUAAUUGAACUUUCACAACAGAAAUACCAUAUUGAGGUUGUCUCUAGUUAUGGUGUGUUAGGGAGUGGAGAAUUGUAAAGGAACUCUAUACUCUUAAUGCUUUAUUAGUUCGAGGUAUUAAUUGCAACAUAUCCUUUAAACUAAUUCUAUUCUAUAAUUUAUCACUUAAAUUGUCAAAUGAUCUCUAUAUUUUAAUUUUUUUUGAAUUAUUAAUUAAAGUAUUUGCUACCUUAUACUUUAAAUUUAACACACAUUGAUCCAGUCAAGUUAGUUUAACAAUUUAUUUUUAACAAAAUACUAAUUUAAUUGGAGAAGAUAUCUGUUGUUGAUAGUACCCUUUAGUGGUGAUUUUUUUUCCCUUUUUCUUCAUUAAUUUCAUUGUUUUUUUUCCUUUUACCUAUUUAUAUUUCAACUAUGCUAUGACCAGCCAUUGAUAGAAAACCAAUAACGUCUAUUACUCUAUCAAAAUGAUUAAAUCACAUAAGGAAAUUGAAAAUUUUCUUCUUGACAAAAAGAACUCAUAAGAAUGUAAUGCAAACCAAAUGUCCAAAAUUCCAUGCUAAAAUCUCCUAACAAAAUCCAAUUAUAAUUUCUAUUUACACCAAAAAGAAAAACCCCGCUUUAAUAACACAAAAAAUAAUCAAGAAAAUCAAAAUUUCAAGGUAAAGGUUUGAACAAACAAAUCUAGGUAUAGAUAACAAAAGCAAGGAUUGGGAGACAGUAGAUGGAUACUGCUAUCAACAGGGGGCGAGAAAUAGGGUUUAAGGGGAUAUAAUUUUAGAACUCAAGAAAAAUUGCAAGAAUAGAAAAAAGAAAAAUUGUGAAAUAGUAUAUACUAGGUUUAGAGAAUGCUAUUAUAAAAGGUGAUUAGAGGGUAAAACAAUAAAAAAACCUAAGAGGGCACUUGGUUCAAAUGUAGGAAUCGAAAUUGUAAUUGGAAUCACGUCCAAAAAUUCUGUAUGGGGUUUGAUCAAAAGUAUCAUUAUAAUGACUAGUGUUGGGUAUAUAUUUAUAAGGUUUUGAAAUCAACUUAUUUUUCAUUUUCUUAUCUUUAUUUUUUUCUGCUUUCGCUUUUUCUACUUCCUUCUUCCUAGCCCUUAAGUAUUCAUGCUUCACCAAUUUCUCUUGAACCACUAUUUGACUAUCACCAAUCAACCUUGCAAUUUGUGGAGUAUGGAAGAACGACUGACAAGAGAUGAGAGAAAGACUUACACAAAAAGGAAAAAAAAAUUGAGAGGAGAGAGAACUAGAUGGAGAGAAGCGGCAACCAUGAAGUAUUGAAGGAAAGAGAAAAAGAGUGAAGAGAGAAUAAAAGGGAAAGUGAGACAGAUAUUAAUAAGAAAGGAGAGAAAUAACCAAGGUAGGGAGGGCUGCUGCUGCCAUUGAGGGUUGGAAGAGCGAGUGAAGAGAGAAGAAAGAGAGAAAAUGAUGAUAAUGAAAGCCUACUCUAGAAGAUGGGAUAAGAGAGAAAAGAUAAGAGAGAAAAUCUGAUACUAAAGUGCUGCUAUGAAGGUUGGGCCAACGUGAUAGAAUGAUGAAGACGACAUGUUUCUUUUUUUUUUUUUUUUUGAAAUCUUCGAGUCAAAUUUGAGAAUCCACCAAAACCCCCCAAUUUGUUGGGGAUUGAGAAUUCCCAAAUUUUAAUAAUUCACUCCAAGAUUUUGAAUCCAAUACAUGUAAUCCAAACAACAAGAAUUGGAACCUAAAAGAUCUAGAGAAUGUUAUAACUUCUCUCUCCUUCUCUUACAUCUAUUUGUCUGUGUCAUUUGCUGAUAUCCUUUUUAAGAUAUUUUUAGGAUAUACCCGCUUUAGAUUCUUAACUUAUUUCCCUCCAAUGAACUUUGUUGUUCUUUAACAAAUUGAGGAAAAUUUACAUAUGAAGAUUGAAGUAAUAACAAAUACUAUGUAUGCUUGACAUUUGAGUGUGUUUGGAUCACACAUUAUUUUUAUCUUAUUUACAUACAUUGACUUAUUUGCACCAUUAACAUAUUUUUCAAUCACUUUUUUAUCUCACAUACAUCAUAUCAAAAAAGUACUACAGUAUUUUUUCACAAAAUUAUCUCAAAUAAUUUACUAUCGGGGUCAACAUUUUUAUGCCCUCUUUUUUGUAUUUGUUUGGGUUUUGUUGUGUGUUUUUUUAUCUUUUAAAGGAAUUUGUUCUUUAAUCAUCCAUUUGACAUGAUAUGCACUAUAUAUAUUAUUUUUUAUUUCGAUUUUGUUAUAGAAAGAAAAAAAGUGAAAAAAAAGGAUGCAAUUUUUUCUUGAUUUAGUGUUGUUUUUCAUACAUUUUGCUUCACUUAAACCAAUUUUUUCCCAACUUUUCUAAUGUAAUCUUUCGUUAUAAACAAAUCUAAUUUUUGCCUUUUAAUCUCUCCUAAAUACUUGUACAUUAAGCAUUCAUUUCACUAAUCACCAUGGAAGUUUGGUCAAACGUCCUAGUCCACAAUCAAAGGUGCAAGAGGUAAACUGGUCAAUCAUUUCAUCACGAAACAUCCUCAAAACUUAAGCAAAACCUACAAAUAACCGUGUGGAUCGGAAAACCAUGCCCCACACCCUGCCAUUCAGACAGACAGGGGUUUAAAGUAAAACCCGUCAAAUGCAAAAUCCAAAAGUACUUUACUCUUGCGGUCCUCCAAGCCAAACAGGACAUUAAAGUUUCAGAAUUUCCAUCUGCUGAACCUGAGUCAUAUUUUGACAAAAAAAAAAAAAAAAGAACCUGAGUCAUAAGACAUAUUUAAUCUCAGCCAUCGGAUCUCUGACAUAAAAUCUUGAUCUGUCCAAAACAAACAGCUAAAAAAUAAAUUCAAAGCCAAAUUGGUUCCCCCUCGUCCUGCCUUCUCUCUUGCACACCCCUCACCUCCUUUCAGCAGAGCAGAGCAGAGCGGACCCCUUCACUCUAUCAGACGUUUCAGUCACCUCGAAAUAGUCACCUUCAUUUUCUUCAGUUCUAUGCUUUUGGGGGCUCAUGUGUCAUCCCAAGAUUGAAACUUUUGGGUUGAAUAAAAUGAAAUUAAUAAAGGGCCAAUCUUUUCUUCUUCUUCUUUUACUAAUUUCUGCUGUUUCAGCUGCUGGUGCUGCUGCUGCUGAAGGUUAGUGUCUUUCCUUCUUCCUACGUUAGUUCCACUGUAUUUUUUUUCCCUAGUCUUUCAUCUUUUCCAUCUCUCGGCUCAUUUUUUGCAUUUUUUUGGCUGAAAAACUAACUCUUUACUUGGUAUUGAUUGCUUCAUGCAUUACUCUAGUGGUGGUCUUCAGCUUGUAUUUUUUCCGGGCUGUUUUGUUUUAGCUAAUUUCAAGCUGGGAUAGUUUCUUUUUCAUUUUGUUUUCACGUUGCAGUUUUAGUUUUUUCAGUAGCAAUAUUAUGCUGUUCUAGUUUUAGUUUUUUUUUUUCCCUGUGCGCAAUAUGCUUGUAUGCGGGAGUGAGACCCUUUACCAAAAGGAUGUGUCUUGGUUAAGGUAAAGGUGUUAGGAAUAUAGCGUAAAGUUGAGAAGAAAGAUUUUAUAUCAGCUAGAAAAAAGUGCAAAAGUUGAUUAGCGUAAGCUUUGAAUUUUGUUUGAGGUAAGCAAUUCUAUUAAGCAUUUUUCUUGACAAAGUGGCUGUUUCUACGCUGAAAAUAGGGACUUUUCUAGAGAAAGAGAGAAUCUUUUCUUUGUUCUUCCCAAAGUAGGGUCUUUUCUGUGGAUUUUUUUUUAAAAAAUUUUUGGUGAAGCCCUCAAUCUGACGUGGACCAUCUACAGAACCUAAGCUAUUGCGGCCCAGCUCAUGUAGGUUUUUCUUUAAGAUACUCCUGCUGCCACAGAAAAAGAAAAAGUUAUAUUGGAGGACGAUUUCUUCCAUUAAGUUCCAACAAAUUUUUUAAAGAAUGUCAUUUUCUUGCUUGAUGUUUAACAUGUCGACAUGUGACAAGCUGACAAUGUUGUGAUGCAAUAUUUUAUAUUAUAUGUGCCCAUCAUUUAUCUGACAGUUUUUCCAUGCAUGUACUUCUUCCUAUGCUUGUUUAGAUCUUACAGAAGGUGCUUUGAAAAAUUUUCUAGUCUUUAAAUAUCCAUGGAGUAAUAUUAUUACAGUAAGAAUCUACUCUGGCUUUUUAUAGAAGCUACUUUUUCUUCCGCGAGAAAUUUGAUUCCUAAAAAAUUUUCAGCAGUAGCAUGCUGGACCAAUAUUCUUGCAGAGAGGCUUUGUAUCAAUUAGUUAGCAUUGUCUGUUUCCUAUCGAUUAUGACCUCUGGUGGUGUGGAAGGCCAUUGUGGGCUCCUAUAAGAGAGAACAUGUGGCAGUGGCAUAUAUUUGAAGCUUUGACCUAAUUGUAAAAGCAUACCUGUUGGAGAAACAAGUGAUUAAUGAAAAAGAGAAGUUGACAAAUAAAAGAACAAGAUAACAUAUCUUUGUAGGUAUAAGUUUAGCAAUUUGAAUAACCAGCAACAUUUUGCAAUUUAUGAUAAUGACAAUUGAAUACAGGGAUUAAAGAUACAUAUUUCCUUGUGUCCUUAUCUACUUCCUUAUGGCCCUGUUUUUGUUACAAAAUCUUAUAGUGAAUACAUAUCCGAAAUCUUGAAGGCGAUGGGGCUAUCGCUGCCCACCAAUCUUGUUUGUGCUUUGUAGUAUAGCUAAUUUUGAGUGUCCUUACCCAGCAAAAAUUGGUAGUUUGUUCCAUAUUGAUUUAGAGAUGAACUCUUCUAUUGUUAUCUAUCAUAUUUGUAAUCAAGACUAUUGAGUAGCUGGACUACAAAAUUGCUUGAACUUGAGGAGGAUCUUUGAUGUCAUUGGUUUAGCAAAUGAAAAAACCACAAUUGGUUUCAACUAUAGUUUCCGUAAAGACUGCGUGAUACCUUACAUUUAAGAUGAUUACGAUGGAAGUAAUAGCCCUUUGGUUUGUUGCCUUGAUUUAAUUUAUACAUUUAAUUUCUCACAAUCUUUUUCUCUUCUUGCUCUUGAUUCUGCCCUGCAACUCAUUGUGCCCCUUCACCAGCAGAUUCAGUUAAUAGAGGCCCUAGUGCUAUGAACCCAAAACCAAUAAUGCUAUCUGAUGCUGAUGGCUGAUUGUUUGCUAAAUUUCAUUUACUUCAUUUUUUGCCAGGGGUCUUUUUAGAAUUUUAGAAUGAUAGGAUGCAAUAAUGAUGCAAGAGGCAACUAAUUUAAAGUGACUGGUUCUUAUGAGGGGCUUUGCUGAGUCAAUGAUCAUUUGUGUCUCCCUAAACAGUCAUGAAUCAGGUGCUUUAUAUAGCAGAUUGAUUGUUCUUGUAUAUGAAGCAGAAAAACUUGCUCCGAUUUCCUGAAUUUCAAAUUUUUGAAUUAUAUUAACUAUGCGGUCUAAGAUGGUAUUUGGUUUCAAUUCUUUAUGACACUCAUGUUCGUUGGAGUUCCUCUGAGAAUUAGAAUAAUUUAUGCUCCAACUCUUGCUCAGCCAAUGCCUUUGCUAAACAUCUUAUUGUUUUUUGGGUCCUUGUCCUCCAGAUGGUUUCAUUGGUGUAAAUAUAGGUACAGACCUGUCUGACAUGCCUGACCCAACUCAGGUUGUGGCCCUUCUCAAGGCUCAGCAAAUCCGGCAUGUCAGGUUGUAUGAUGCUGACAGAGCUAUGUUACUCGCACUUGCUAAUACUGGAAUUCGUGUAACUGUAUCAGUACCAAAUGAUCAACUGUUGGGAAUUGGACAGUCAAAUGCCACAGCAGCCAAUUGGGUUUCCCGAAAUGUUAUUGCCCAUAUUCCUGCAACCAACAUCACUGCUAUAGCUGUUGGAUCUGAAGUUCUGACAACCCUUCCAAAUGCUGCCCCAGUCCUGGUUGCUGCAAUGAAUUUCAUCCAGUCUGCCCUAGUUGCUUCUAAUCUUGCUUCCCAGAUAAAAGUAUCCACCCCGCACUCUUCUUCCAUUAUUCUUGAUUCAUUCCCACCUUCUCAAGCAUUUUUCAACCGCACCUUGGAGCCAGUCAUGGUUCCCUUGCUCAAGUUUUUGCAGUCUACUGGCUCCUUCCUUAUGCUCAACGUUUACCCAUAUUAUGAUUAUGUACAAUCAAAUGGUGCGAUCCCGUUAGACUAUGCUUUGUUUCGUCCUCUUCCACCGACCAAGGAAGCUGUUGACCGUAACACUCUUCUGCAUUAUACUAAUGUUUUUGAUGCAGUAGUGGAUGCAGCAUAUUUUGCCAUGUCCUAUCUGAACUUCACCAAUAUUCCCAUAAUAAUCACUGAAUCUGGUUGGCCUUCAAAGGGUGACUCUUCUGAGCCAGAUGCCACUCUAGAUAAUGCUAAUACUUACAAUAGUAACCUUAUCAGGCAUGUUCUUAACAACACAGGGACUCCAAAACACCCUGGGAUUGCACUGAGCACCUACAUCUAUGAGCUAUACAAUGAAGAUCUGAGACCAGGGUCUAUUUCAGAGAAGAACUGGGGACUUUUUAAUGCCAAUGGUGUACCUGUUUAUAUCCUACACUUGACAGGUUCUGGGACUGUUCUUGCAAAUGACACCACGAAUCAGACUUACUGUGUUGCAAAGGAAGGAGCUGAUAAGAAGUUGCUGCAAGCAGCCCUCGAUUGGGCUUGUGGCCCUGGAAAAGUGGAUUGCAAUCCGUUAAUGCAAGGAAAUCCAUGUUAUGAUCCGGAUACUGUGGUAGCACAUGCAUCAUAUGCUUUUGAUGCCUAUUAUCACAAGAUGGGUAUGACAGAUGGAACCUGUGACUUCAAUGGGGUUGCUACCGUCACAACCUCGGAUCCCAGUAAGUAAUAAAUAUAUUGUUAUGCAUUGACUUGGUUUACCAAGAGACUUUUGACGCUUUGUUAUCUUAGUUACUGAGAUUGUGAGGUGCCACAAAGAAACAACUAAAAAAAAUUAAUCAAUAGCUAUGAAAUGGCAUUUCAAGGGGAGAUUUCUUUUCUUCUCCCUGAAAACACAGAUGCAAAUGGAGUAAAAGUCGUACUUUUUCUUUGAUUGGGAGUUCUUGGCUUUGCAUUUUAUGCAUACCUUCAUCUGAAUUAAGGUUUUUGCAUAAUCAGCUAUUGGACGACUCUAAUCCGCAGCUUGGAGAAGUUAGUGAAGUCAAUGGUGAAUGUAUUUACUGAGUACAAAGACGAAGAAAGAAAACAUACCAAGACUGAUUUCUUUAACUUUAAAUAAAGAAUCUUGUAGUUAAAUGUUCUAUGCACUCGUGUAGAUUAAAUGCUUAUACUCCUUGCUUGUAACAUCAUUUGUUGCAUUAUCAAAUACUAAUGUUCGUUCUGCUUGUGCAGGUCAUAAUUCAUGUAUAUUUCCAGGAAGGUAUGAAGCAUUGAGUUUGUAACUAUGGUUUUUGAGUUAGUCUACUAUCUCUGUAUUGCCAUCCAUAUUCUGUUAUUUAUGUGCAAAAGCUUCAUCUGAGAGUUUGUGUUUUCUUCUUGGUUUGUUAUGAAGUGGUGGGAGGAAUAGGACCACCACAAAUGGCACCUCUCUAGCUCCAUCGUCGAACUCCACGGUAUCUGGCUGCCAUUCACAAUAUUUAAACGAGAAAGGUGUCCUUUUUAACUCCAUAACACUUGGUCUUAUGCUCUGGGGUGUUGCUUUCUUGUAAAACAUUGAUCUCUUACUUUUUGCUGCUUUUGAACUACGUUGACACUUGAGAAACCUUUGGGUGGAAAACUGCUACAACUUCUGCCACACCCAAUUUUGGUCCUCUGAAUUGAGCUAGGGUUGGCAUUGGGAUCUGCUUGGAUUAUAUAGCUGGGCAAGUUGCUUUGAGGUGAGUGGUACAUUAACAUGUACAAAGAAGGCUUUGGGAUUAUUUCGAACCAUUGAUGUAAUUAGGUUAGAUUAGAGUCAAUUUGUACUCAAGGAUUGUAUUCUUUUAACCUGAAAAUGAAUUUGCCAUAGAGUUGUCUCGACUCUUCAUAUUGUCAUGUAUCAUCUUUUCUUUUUUAUUGGGCAGAAAGGUUGGUAGAAGUAAAUGACAUUGAGAUGUCUCCUUUGCUGCAAAUUGUUUCGAGUGGUCAAGUUUAUAAUGGCACUUGUUGGAUUUGAUCUUUCUUUGUUUCGUAGUUGUUAAUUUUACUCUUAAAUUGCAUUGAGGUGACGAAUUUUUACAAUAAGCAAUGGGAAUGUUGCAUCAGUGGUAAAUAUAACCAUUAUAUGAAACUAACGACUUUUUGCUAGAGAAUUCAAAGUCUGUGGAGGUAUUAUGCAGUAGAUGUAAUGCUUAUAAUCAACCAAACAAAUGAGUGGGAGUUCUCAGAUGCAAGUCUAAUCCAUAACAGUUAACACAUUUCAUCUCAUUGCUAAAAGUUCUAGUGCCCUUGUGAUGAUUAAUUCUCUAUAAAUCUUGCAUGACAAUCUAUACAUACAAAUCCUGAAGAGCCUACUAGGCUGCACUUUUGAUCUGCAUGUUGGCUACAGUAAGGUUUGUUGCAAAAACUACAUUUUGGUAGCUGAAGCCAGCAGCCUAGACAUAAUGCAUCCACACAAGCUGCCUCUACUGGAUCUUCAUCUUUGAUACAUAUGCCACAUUCUUCACACCUUGGGAUGCAGUGUUGGCAGCCCCUGCACUCAAGCUUCUGCUGCUGCCUCAUACUUUUGCAAGAAUCUCUAGGGCAGUCAAAAACCACUCUUGCUUCUUUACAUUUUGGGCAUAUUUCCACAUCAAUAGGAGGGUUUGAAUGUUUAAAUGUUGAAAACUCUUUGUACUCAUGAUAGAAGUUCAAUCCUUUCUUCUGCCAUGGGUGGUUUUCAUCAUCAAUUAGACAAUGUAGUAUUUCAAGAUCUUCUUUCUUCAAAUUAUAGAUGCCGUUGAUCCUUAGGCUCUUUAAUUUGUGCUUAUUUUUGGUAAGCAGCUUCACUGCUUCAAUCACUCCACUGGUGCUUAAGCUGGUGCAAGCUGGUAACCAGAGCUGAGAAAAAGGGAAGAACUGAGACAGCAGCCUUUUCUAGAGCUUAGCUUUAGUCCUUCACUAUGCCAACAUAGCUUCACAUCACAGACCAACAAAGUUUAUCUAGUCCAACUAAAACCAUACCUUAUCGUUUUCCAUCCCCUACAACAAAGGUAGUUACUUUGAACAAUAACAUAAAGAAGAAUCAAAUAGAAAGAACAUGCAUCGUGGAGGAUGAUGAAAUUUAAUUUUUUAUUACUAUAUCUCCUGUUCCCACUAAAGGAUGGCAAAGACAGGACAAAAGAAUAAAAGGGUUCAUGAAUAUACUCUGGUUAUGUAAGGAUUUCUUGCUAUGACCUGGUGAAGCCCCUCAUCUGUAAUCUUUGAGCAAUUCAACAAGGCCAGAGUUUUUAGCCUACCAUCUGCUUUUGAGGUAAUUUUGAGCAGAUGGACAUCGUUGAAACGCUUGUUCAAUGGCUUUCCCACCACCAUAUUCAGCCAUGGCAAGAUAUCGUUGGUAAGAACUUCUUUUACUGAUCUGCAGACUUGAGCCAUAACAAGAAGUUCAUAUAGAGGAAGAUAAGACAAGACAAGAAAUAGAGCUUCAUGGGGCAUCCCUUCUUCUUGUUGGAGAGGAGUAUCUGAGGCAUCUUGCACUAAGUUCUCUUCCAUAUGUGAAGCUAGUACAAACUCAUCAGUUGACGGAAAGGACAGGUUUUAAAGGAUGAAGGACAAGGUUUCGUUAUCUUUUCGAACUCCUAAAUUAAGUCCAGACAAGAAGAAGAUGAUGUAGAAGAAGGCUGAAGAAAAGGCUACUUGAAGGAGGAAACAUUACGUGUCUAAAUUGCUUGGUUGAGAAAAUUUGUCGAGUAUCACAGUUGGGCUGUGUUUGGCUCCUUCAUUUUUAGAAGAAUUAAUUCUCUAUAAUUUGCUCGUAAAUUAAAAAAAAAAAUAGAUUAAAUCUCUGUUGAAUUAUCAAAUAUUUAGCAAUUAUACAUCGAUUUUAGAUUCUUGCCAUGCCAUACACCUUUGUAACUAGGACGUCAAUUUCUCCAGAUCUAUAAUCCUAGCUUAUUUGAGAUUCCAAGGAGGAACAUGUUUGAAAAUCAGAAACUCGCAACAGAUUUUUCUUGAAAACUAUGCGAAAUAUUUUGAUGGGAUGAAAAAUAUAUCUCUUUCUACGAGCAGAAGAAAAUGCAGUACACAUAAAUUGUUUCUUUUGGUCAUCAAACAGAGUUGUGGAGUUGAUGAAGUGCUUUAGACUGUAAGUCUAACUGCUGGAUUGUUCAUCUUCAAGAUUCUACUUCAAGAAUUCAUGAAACAUUCAAACUUCUGCAAUUAAUCCUAUGGACUUUAAAGGAUAGUUAAAAACAGUACAUUUUCCUCCUUUUCCUCUAUUCAAUAGGUCAGUUAUCAGAUACAACACAGAACGAAGGCAGAGAAGAAUUACAUAUUGUCGAUUUCUUUCUUCUUCUUUUUUUUUUUUUCCUUUUUCCCUUCAGCUUUUUACAUAAGGUUCUGAGUUUCAAAAGGCAAUCAGGAUUCAAGAUCUUUGCAAUUACAGAGUAUAAAAUAACCAUGGGUUUCAACGGUCUAAUGGUUCAACAGCAGUCUUGAACAGAAGAACGUAGACCUUAUCGAUUGAGAAAUACAAAAAACCUCCUGUGGAAUGUGUCACGUAUGAGCCAAAGCUUGUUCCAACAAUGCAAUGCCAAGCCGGACCAUAUGUCGAAUCAAAUUCCUGUAAGGCCAAUACAGAAACCAUUAACCAGUAGUCUGAAGUUGUCUACCAUAUGAAAUUGUACGACUGUAAAAACAAUGCAUUCUCAUGAGACAUAUCUUUGAAAUAAAAAGGGAAGGAUAUAAGCAAUCUAGUCUUGAUUCUACCAUAAUUACCUCUGGACGAACAUUGGAAUUAGUUGCAGGAAUAAGAAGUGGAGUAUCAGAGUUACCAAGGUAUCUUUAAGAAACAUCCCUAAAAAAAAUUCUCUGUCAAGCUUAAGGUUUCAGACUAUGAAGCUGGCCGAAUAAAGAAAACCUUCCCGUGAUCAUAUAGGAAGAUAAUUGCUAACAUACUAACAUAAUUCUACUGAAUUUUUUCAGACCCUGAUUAUAUGAAGUUCGAGCUGUACAAUACAAGACAGAAGACAAAGUCCUCAUCCUCUAAUAUGUUUUUGCUACAAUGAAACCUGCAACGUGAAAAUUAACAUUCCAUGAUGAUCCAUAUUUGGGCUUAAAAGGUCCCUCACAUGAAAAUUUUUAGUUCUUAUUAGACAUGCAUACUGAGCAAUACAUUUGAGUCGAGAGAAUAAUUUGAGAGGCUUCAGUAUAUCCUUAUUAACAAGGAGUACACAAAAGUAAACAAAACGAAGACAUAAUUAAGUUGAGACCAACAAAGAUGGGCACCAAGGGCCUAAACACAAAGUUCAUUGCUUCUAAUGAUGAUAAAAUGAGGUACGCCAUCCAUCAUUUCAGAUCAAGUGUUUGCUGUCUGAAUCAUAGUUCCUGAGAUGUUAUUUUCAAGAAAUGAUCUAAGAUGCCAAAUUGCACAUGCUAUACCCUGCAAAGGGCACAAUCAUGAACAUCAACUAGAAGAAGGGUUUGGGAGGCCGUAUCAUUAUUACCAACUGCUUCCCUCUGCACUGUUGGUCAAUCAAACAAGACUCAGUUUGAUUCCCCAUUUAUUUGACUUAAAAGAAUGGAAACCCAAGAAAAUGGUAAAAAAAAAAAAGAGUCCUUCAAGGCUAAUUUUACUGGCCAAAAUGACACCCCAAACAUAUUGCCAGAAGGAUAGCAAAAAAAUUAACAAAGAUAAUAGAAAGUCGUUGAGUUACAGGUACAGAAACUUGAGGUGGAAUGGUUCCAUUAAGGAUGCACGGUCCCUAUUACCAAUUAGCAAAACUGUGCAAUAUGUGAUCUUAUUAGGACUUCCUUUGCCAUGUCACGUCAAUUCUCCUGCUUCAAUUUAGAUAGUUAAAUUUUUCUUCAGAUCGGCCUGCCUAUAACUUGUCAAGUUCAUGAAGUGAUAAUGAUGUAUUACAGCACAUAGCAGCUUGUACCAAUACUUGUAAAAAGAAGUAAAUACAGGGUAAAUAAACACCUUAUGAGCUAAAAAAAAAAGAAAAAAAGGAAACAAUGCUGGCAAAAGAGAAAUAUGGUUGGAAGUACUUGCCCCAAAAAGAAAGCUCGGAAGUAAUCAAUCCUCUAAAAACUUUACCAGCAGGAUUUUAGUCCUUUGGCAAAGAGAUUCAGCAAUAGCAAUGAAACUAACUCUCGAUUUUCAUAGGAAAUACAGCCAUCAACAUAACUUAUUGCUGAUACCAAACAGCAGGAUUGGCUCAAAAAAGCAUGCUUAUAUUUUCCUUUCAAUAAAUUUGAAACAUGAAGGCAAAGAACUCAACAAGAAUGAUGAAGCUCAGAAAAUGAAGACAACACAGCCAAACGAUAUACACACAUAUAUAGUUUUUAAAUAAUACAAAUUUCGAAAUUUGAAAUGCAAGCUGCACAUUUUGGAAAACAUAACUCACUGCCCAAUGAAAUUUCCUCAUAUUAUGUCAAAAGACAUUUGACUUGCAGUAUAUAGUGUCAAAUGUACAACCUGCAAAGUAUAAUCUCAAAUGUGAUAACAAACGUGGUCUAAAAACCAUUUUGCCAUAAAUAUAAACAGGGAGGAGGACAGUGUUCUAGAUGUUGCAUUAACACCGAGCAAUCACCAUGUUAAACUAACCGGAAUAAUCAAGUAUCUAAGAAAAGCAGCCAGAUACGAACCAAAGUUGAAAAUACGAGUUUUCUAUUGAUUCUGCCCUUAGAUAUUAGCAAUCAGUCAGACCAGCAACAGCAAGAUAAAUAUAUAAAGUAAAGCAUUCCCUUAACAAAAAAAAGAAUCUUUGGCACAAUGUCAUUAAGUAAAGUCAUCAAGAAUCUUUGGAGAACCAAAAAAGAACAUAAGAACAUAUUGGCACAAUGUAGUCCAAUUAAGAGAAAAAUACACAAUUAUAAAUAAAGAAUUUUAGGUAUCUAGUAAGGGUGCCAGCAAUCAAUCAUUUCUUUGCAGUGAGCUAAGGGUAGCUUAAAUGCUAAGGCCACCCCUCACCAAAGCAAUAUGUCACUGUUGACUCUAAUUAUUCCAUCACAGCACCCUAAUAUCCUUCCCAAUGUCAUGUACUCCAAAGGAAAAAAAAAAGAAAGAGGAUUCAUUUUCGAUGCAUCAAAUUUACCAUAAUUGCACCAGAGAGAGAGAGAGCAAUCUAAAAACGAGCCUUAUUAUUAGAUUAAGCAGAUAACAUGAAUAAAAUCAGUACCCCACUGCUCUGUAAACUCAAACAAGCAAAUAAAAGUCCCACAAAUUUUUAUACCAAGAAACUACACAAAAUCAAGGUUCAUCAAAGAAAUCCAAAAGAUUGAACAAUCCAGAGACCAGAAGCUAAAAAAUUAGUACUACUACAAGUUUGUAGUUUGUGCCGUAGCUGUUAUACCUUCUUGAGAGAAAGAGCAAGGCGUUUACUAUCCAGCUUCCCUUUAGGCAUGGAGUCAAGAUUGUUUCUAGCGCAAUUAAAGGCGUGGUUCUGCAAAGACACCGCCAUAUCAGAAGCUCUCAAACGUACAUUCAAUCGUUCAUGCUGCUCUUUUUGCUCCACAGCUUUCUUCUUCAGUAUUAAGCUGUUCAAGAACUUGCUUCUUCGCUCCAACUCUGCCUCAGCUGCCUCCAUUUUCACCUUCACCACCCCUUCAUUUAAAACUCUAUAUUCUCGCAAGAUUUCCAGAUAUGGGAUUGCUUUUAUUUCAUUUUAUUUUUAUUUUUUUGUUUCUUCCAGCUUGAGGCAUUAGAGUUGUUUUUGGUGAGGUGGUUAAGAAGAUUAGGAAACAAGAGUCUCGAGUAUAGUAGCUGAACAGCACCGCACUUUUUUGUUGUUUGUUUUUGGCAUAUUUUUCGGACAUUUCGUCUCUUUUAAGACAGUUGUUGGGUGGAUACGAGGUCGUUGGGGACGCCAAAAUUUUGUGUACGCGGAAAUUCUGGUCCAACAUGGGCUAUAGAACCUGUUUGUCUAUGGUUUUUCACAUUUCUUCUUUUUCUCUAGGAGUCCCGUUAUAAUUUUUUUUUUGGGUAUUAAAGUUCUCUUAUAAUACUGAAUAUUGAAAAUUAAUCACCACAAGCAAAGUGAGCAGUUAAUAUUAAGAAGAAAUAUCGAUUUUAUCCUUAGAAAGUAUUAAUUUUGUGCUGUUAAUACUUUUCUCUUACCUUUUAAUGUUAUCCAGGUAAAAAAUAUCUUUUUUGCCAUUUAACAAUUAGUUUACGUUUCCUUUAUUUCUUUUACUCUCUCUCUCUCUGUAAUUUUUGAACAAUGGGUCUUCUAGGUCACCGUCUUUGAAAUAUGUAUUUGGUCAAUUGAUUCUCAAUCUGUGCAGUAGUUGCCAGUCAGUCCUAAUGAUGCUUUACUUACCAUCUUUGGGAAGUUAUUAGACCAAAAUUCUUGAUGAUUUUGGGUUAAAAUGUGAUAAUUGUCGAGCAUAACUAGAUAAAUCAUCGAAUAAGUUUGAAUAUAAUUUAUGUUUGGAUUGUGAUUUUUUACAAAAAAAAAAAUUAUAUUUUUUUAAAUAUAUUUUUUAAUUACCUUUUUUCUUUAUAUACAUCAACUAAUACAUUUUUCUAUACAACUGGUUGUAGUAUCAGUAAUGGUCAAUAUAGCACACGGACAUUUGGCAAGUGCCAAAUUGCCAAUACAAAAAAAAUCUAAUUUUGGCUCCUCUUUUUACAGUAACAAUACACAAGUCAUUCCUACACUAAGCUCUCUUCCUUUGAGUUCUUUCUACCGUAGAACUUUGCAUUUUUAAUGAAUGACCUUUCUUAUUGUUUUCAUCUUAGAUUUUUGGUAUCAUAAAAAUGAGGGAGGUUGUGUUCUGCUAAUAAAUAUCCUCAAGAAGAAAAUUAAGGGGGUUGUGAAUGUCCGGAACAUUUUCAUACCUGAGUUAACCAUUUGUCAUGAUCGACAGGUAAAAUGCAAUGAAUUUGCUUAAUAAGGACAUUACUUUGUGAUUCGGAGCAAGUACUUGCUAGGAGUGCAAAUGAGUAAACGAGUUUAACACUGCUAAUAUUUAAAUUUGUUUGAUUAUUUUAACUAGUUUAAAAUUACAUUCAAAUUUAGUUUAUUUAUUUAACGAACUGAACUCAAACUAAUUUUUAUCAAGCAAGUUUAAAUAGAUUGUAUUUUUUACUCAAAAAUUAGAAAUUUUAUAUUAAUCGAGCCAAAUUUAAUCCGAGUUUGAAAGUUUAUUGAGCAUAAAAUACUAUUUAAGUUUGAUUUGAUUGGUUCAUAUUAAAUUCAACUCGAUUAAAAGUAUCGAGUAGUUUGAUUCAUCUUUCACUCCUAACGCUAAUAUAUUAGGCUGAGAUUACAUAACAAGGAAGCAAAUUUGUCAAAAAACUAGAAUAUAAACCCGGAAAACGUUGAAUGGAUGGUAAAUACUACUAUCACUUCAGUGAUAGUACGAAUAAUGGAAAGGAGAAAAUAAAACAAGAAUGGGGCCAAUUGCCAAGCAAGCAAGGACUAAAAGCAGAAUGAAAAUAUGAAAAGAGACUGCAAAGCAUCAAUGUUGGAUAGAUAUUGGUCAGACAAAGUAAGCGGAAGUCACGGGAAAAGCUGUGUGCAGGGACCUCCACCUUUGAAACGUGGUCGGUUCGGUUUAUUCCUAGGGUUAGAUUUUGCAUUUUGUCUGAUUCUUUCCACAAUGUUAUGCUUCUAUGCAGCAAUGAGGCAUGCAUUUGACCUUGUGGUGUUCAAUGCUUUGACGAUUUGGCCUUGUUUGAAAAUUCAUUUUUUUUUCCAAAAUAUUUUUUUGAAUACAUUUCUUAAUUUUUUUUAUUUCAUGUACGUUAAAUCAUCACACUACAUUUUUCUAUAAAAAUUAAAAAAAAAAAUCCAAUCGGUCCUAAUUAGUAUGAUAGAAUUGUAAUCAUCGAUAGGAAAAGAGCACUUACUUUGGUGCCCAUUUCACCAUUUUCAAAUACUAGUUGAUACUUGUCUUAUCAGCAUUUCACCAUUCGAAAAUGUCUAUGCUACCUUUUGACACUUAAUUCUUCACAAUUGACUUUGAAGGCUCACAAAAUUGUCUAAAAAAGAAUAUAAAGUCACAAGAAGAUUAAUUGUUUGUCUGGUUUCUAAGCAAAACUAAGACAAAAAUGAAUUGAGGAAACAUGUAAACUGAACUCCAAUUUCAGCACCCAUUAUUGUUUGACCAUCUUCAUUUUUCAACAAAACUUCUAUUCUAUUUGAGAAAAAAAUAUGACACGAACACUCCCUUUUGCAUUUCAUAUUUCUACACACUUUCUCUCUUAAAAAAUAUAGAAUUCCAAUUUGCCAAAGUUGGAAUGAUUUGAUUCCCUACAUUGUUUAUCCAUAAAGCUACCUUCUUCAGUUAACUUCAUAAUUACUAUGUUAAGAUGUUGGAAAGGGCUGGGUUGGAUGAUAAAGUAGAAGGGAUUAAAAGAUUUUGAACUUAAAUCUUUUACUUAAAAAGGAAAAAAAAAGAUGCUUAUGUGAAAAAAAAAAGUUAUGAUGCUUAUGUAUUUUCUUGCCAAUAGACUUUCAUUCUACCUAGCUUGAAACCUAGAUAAGGUGCAAUUCCAGUACUUAUUUAUAGAUUAUUAGAGGUCAACAUUUACUGACUGAAAAUUUUCGAUUGGAUAGCAACCAGAGAAGUGAAAAGAAAAAGGAUAAACAACCCAUAAUUAAAGGGAUACUAUAUUAAAGAGGCCACAUCAACUUCUCACGUGAUGGUGCCUUUGGGCAUUAUUGAAGUGCCUGUUGACUAGAUUGCCGUGUGAGCAAGGUUCAAGAAUUUCCCUAUAGGGCUUUCACAAUUGCAUCUUUAGGCAGGCCUACCGCAAUAUCAAAAUUUUCAUCCCUCAAAAAACGGAUAUAAUAUGAUUAAUUAAUGAGCUUAGAAGUUAGAGCUUUCUAACUUUAAUUAAUCAUGGGACAACUAAUUGAUUGUUUGCUAGAAUUAUUUCAUGACUAUCAUUUUCAAACUCAAAUUUUCAGUAGCUUAUCUUCACUAUGCUUGGAAAACAGUGAGUCUAUGGGAUCGUCUAUAUCAUUUGCGUGAGAUACAAAAAUAUGAAAUUCACUUUUGAACCAACCUUAUUUAUUAAAAUCUUCCCGACAUUAGCCAGACGAUUAUGAGAUUAUUUCUUUGAUUUUUAAUACCUUUCAUUUUUCUUUCCCUUUAUAAGGUUUAGAUUCUCCCAUAAAGCAAAUAAAUAUUACUUCAUUGAGGUCGGUUGUUACCCUGCCAAUCCUAUGGUUGAAUGUUUUUUAAAGUAAUGCGGUGCAUAAGAAAAAUGAUGGAAUAAUGACUAUUGCAAAGUAAGAUUUAUCUACACUGAUUUCUUCCUUGCCACAAACAAGGAAGAUAAAGAGUUUGUAAGCCUGUGGAAGUUUUUCUCCAUAAAUACUUCGAAUCUAGUGACUUGCACAUUCCUCGGCCUAUCCUGUCGUUACACUGCAUUAUUCUUCAUUUCAGACAAAUUAACUUGAAAUUUCUCAAUACAUUCUAUACAAGAUCAUUUAAUUUCUAUUCAAUCUAUAGAGCCCUUUUCAACGCGCCAUACAUAUCUUGAGCUGAA